UUUUUUCAUUUGGCUUAAUUAACGGUAAUACAAUACGCUCCCACCCUUGUAAGUGGAUUUGAAACUUUUUAUUUUCAACAUAAGAGAUUUUAGUAACUCCAUUAAUAAUGACACCCACAAAUAAAAUUAACAAUUAGAUAAUAUAGAUAACAGUACUACAUCAUCGCAAUAGAUGAUGGUCCAAAUUAGUGAUUAAGAAUUUGUUUGUUUAUAACAGGAGAUGGAAUAAAAUUUAAUUUCAGUUAUAACAGGAGAUGGAAUAAAAUUUAAUUAGUGAUUAAGAAUUUGUUUGUUUUUAAAUGCAUUUAUAUUUAAUUGAACUCUGGAAACUAUUGCUCCAAGUGUAUGAACAAAAAAGUCAAAAUUUUGAACUUUUUAAACAUAUAAUAAUUGUUUUCACAAGAAUCAUAUUUUUUUAAUAGGCGUCAAUUAAUUUAUAUGAUUAAAUCUAUUGUGUGGAAACAAUAAAUUAUGGGUUCAAAUUCCGCUUACAUGAGAGAAAACUCAUGUAAGAGAAAAUUACGUAGUACGUAUGUUUUCAUGCAACUUGUCUUAGGAUUGUUCUGUGGUGAUUAAUUGAGUUGUUAUACGAACUCAUUUAAUUUGUACGCUUUCAAGCAACUUGUCUUAAUUAGGGUUGUCUUGUGGUGCUUAUUUGAGUUGUAGGACCUCUUUUGAUUUGUACUAUUUUAUAUGAUUCAUGCCCUUUACCCUCUUACCUUUAAAAAAAAAAAGAUGAUUAUGAUUUUUCUCCCAUUAUUGCCGCCUUCUUUUGUUUUCUUUUAAGCUCAACAGAUGGAAAAUUAUUUCAAAGCAUGGUAUUGCGUGAGCUAUAAAGUUCACACCUCAAGGGUCAUUAGGGAAUUUCGUUUGAUGAGAUUAUUAUCGUUAAGCUUAUAAAAUAGAAGACAAAUAUAUUGCAUACUAAUCUUUGUUUACAAAUUUAAUAAUGUUGAUGCAAAUUUUUGCUCAAUUUACAAUGAUUGAUUUGUGUUAUGACUUUUUUCUAAAUUAGGUUUUAUUACUUAUUUUCUCCUUGAAGCAAGUGUCUUAAAUUACGUGUCUCCUUGUGGUAAAUUAUCUAGCAAAAAAGAAAUAAUUGUCAAAGGGGGGGCAGCGUGCCGGCGAUAACCCUCUGACGCUUAAAUCAGUUCUUUUUACUCAACUUUUAGAGGGAGAAAAUCUAGAGUGAGAUAAGCAGGGUUUUUGUACUCAUUUUAUGCUCUUUUUUCUCUUACCUUCAAAUGAGGGGUCUUGGCCUUUAUAUAGGCAACUUAGAGUCAAUUGGAGAGGUUAUAUGACACUUUUCUUGUGACAAAUGUCAGCCAAAACCCAUGCAUGGAGACACAUAUUCAUGUGUCAAUACUUGUUCAUGACAGGUAAUCUUUGGACAUUUGUUAUGUUUUUGGGCCCUUAACCUUUAAUGGACUUAAGCUUAAAUUCAACACUUAUAUUGGUUUCUUACAAAGAGGAUUGAUUUUGCAAUAUUUUAUUCGUAAGUGCAUUCUGCAGAAUGUUUGUUAGCCCGUAGGCUUAUUCCGUAGAAUGCUUAUUGGCCCGUCGGCGCAUUCCAUAGAAUACAUAUAUUUGCUCGUAGGCGCAUUUUCGUAAGAUGUAUUUUUACUUAUAGGCGCAUUCCGUAGAAUGUAUUUGUUCGUAUGUAUAUUUCGUAGAAUGUUUAUUUACCCAUAGGCACAUUACGUAGAAUGUGUAUUUGCCUGAAGGCCUAUUCUAUAGAAUGUUUAUUUGCAGUAGGUCCAUUUCAUAGAAUGUGUAUUUGUCCAUAGGCCCAUUCCGUAGAAUGUAUAUUUGCCCAUAGGCGCAUUUCAUAGAAUAUAUAUAUGCCCAUAGGCGCAUUUCAUAGAAUAUAUAUAUGCCCAUAGGUGCAUUCCAUAGAAUGCUUAGUAGCUCGUGUGCUCUUACUUAGAAAUAUUUUCUAAGUGUCGAAGUCAUUCUUUAUAAGGAGUGGACUUAGGUCAUUUUUUUGUGAAGAAUGGACCUGGGUUGUUCUUUGUAAAGAAUGGACCUGGGUUGUUCUUUGUAAAGAAUGGACCUAGGACAUUCUUUACAAAGAACGAACCUCGAUCACUCUUUGUUAAGUCAUGCCUUUAGUACUUUGUCGAAAACUAGCCCUUUGGGCGUUUUAUUUAAAACUAUUUUCUAAGUUCCUAAGCCAUUCUUUAUAAGGAAUGGAUCUAGAUCGUUCUUUGUAAAAAAUAAACUUAGGUCAUUCUUUGUAAGUAUAGGACGGAGGUCGUUCUUUGUAAAGAAUAUAUUUAAGUCAUUCUUUGUAAAGAAAUGACCUAGGUCAUUCUUUAAUGAAUCAUGCUUUUGGUGUUUUGUCAUAUCUUGUAUUUAGAUACUUUAAUUAGAAUUGUAAGUACCUUGGUCGUCCUACCUUGGCCGUCUUUAUAGAGAAUGGGCUUGGGUUAUUUUAUGUAAAAUAUUUUUAUUGGGCCUCUAAUUUUUUGCAAGUUUUUUGGACCUUUCAUAAUUUGGUCUAACAAAUAAUAUAAAACUUAUAUCAACCAAAAAAACAUCAUCAUUAACGUAUACUUAUAUGUUGUGUAUGGAUAUAAUUUUCAUUUUUAUUU
rnacentral:lncRNA from 1 species